rnacentral:rRNA from 1 species
UGGGGAAUAUUGCGCAAUGGGCGAAAGCCUGACGCAGCGACGCCGCGUGCGGGAUGAAGGUUUUCGGAUCGUAAACCUCUGUCAGAAGGGAAGAAACCGCACUGUGCUAAUCAGCAGUGCCUUGACGGUACCUUCAAAGGAAGCACCGGCUAACUCCGUGCCAGCAGCCGCGGUAAUACGGAGGGUGCAAGCGUUAAUCGGAAUUACUGGGCGUAAAGCGCACGUAGGCUGCUUUGUAAGUCAGGGUUGAAAUCCCACGGCUCAACCGUGGAACUGCCUUUGAUACUGCUUAGCUUGAAUCCGGGAGAGAGUGGCGGAAUUCCAGGUGUAGGAGUGAAAUCCGUAGAUAUCUGGAGGAACAUCAGUGGCGAAGGCGGCCCCCUGGACCGGUAUUGACGCUGAGGUGCGAAAGCGUGGGGAGCAAACAGG